AGAGUUUGAUCCUGGCUCAGAAUCAACGCUGGCGGCGUGCCUAACACAUGCAAGUCGAACGAGAAAGUGGAGCAAUCCAUGAGUACAGUGGCGCACGGGUGAGUAACACGUGACUACCUAUCGAGUGGGGAAUAACUUCGGGAAACCGAGGCUAAUACCGCAUAACAUCUACGGAUCAAAUGCGAAAGCAGCUUGAGGAG
rnacentral:rRNA from 1 species